ACCGAAGCUACGGCAUCAGUAAUGAUGGGUAGGGGAGCUUCCCAUACGGGUUGAAGCAUGACCGUAAGGACAUGUGGACAGUAUGGGAGUGAGAAUGUUGGCAUGAGUAGCGAGAUGUGGGUGAGAAUCCCACAGGCCGUAAACCCAAGGUUUCCAGGGGAAGGUUCGUCCGCCCUGGGUUAGUCGGGACCUAAGCUGAGGCCGAAAGGCGUAGGUGAUGGACAACAGGUUGAUAUUCCUGUACUACCGAUAACCGUUUGAGAGAAGGGAUGACACAGUAGGAUAAGCUAAGCACACUGUUGGUUAUGUGUGCCCAAGCAUUGAGGCAGUCAAAGUAGGCAAAUCCGCUUUGAUAAUGCUGGGAUGUGAUGGGGAGCGAAAUUUAGUAGCGAAGUAGCUGAUUUCACACUGUCAAGAAAAGUCUCUAUCGAGGUUAAAGGUACCCGUACCGCAAACCGACACAGGUGGGUGAGGAGAGUAUCCUAAGGCCAGCGAGAGAACUGUUGUUAAGGAACUCGGCAAAAUGACCCCGUAACUUAGGGAUAAGGGGUGCCACCAUCAGGUGGCCGCAGAGAAUAGGCCCAAGCGACUGUUUACCAAAAACAUAGGUUUCUGCUAAGUCGCAAGACGAUGUAUAGGAGCUGACGCCUGCCCGGUGCUGGAAGGUUAAGGGGAUCUGUUAGAGCAAUCGAAGCAGUGAACUUAAGCCCCAGUAAACGGCGGCCGUAACUAUAACGGUCCUAAGGUAGCGAAAUUCCUUGUCGGGUAAGUUCCGACCCGCACGAAAGGCGUAACGAUUUGGGCACUGUCUCAACAACAGACUCGGUGAAAUUGUAAUUCCGGUGAAGAUGCCGGAUACCUGCGACAGGACGGAAAGACCCCAUGGAGCUUUACUGUAGCUUGACAUUGGGUCUUGGUACUACAUGUACAGGAUAGGUGGGAGGCUUUGAAACCAGGACGCCAGUUUUGGCGGAGCCAUCCUUGGGAUACCACCCUUGUAGUACUGGGACUCUAACCAUAGGCCAUGAAUCUGGUCUUGGGACACUGUCAGGUGGGCAGUUUGACUGGGGCGGUCGCCUCCCAAAAGG
rnacentral:rRNA from 1 species